GAAGAGGUAUCAAUAAAAACAGUCAUAUAAUUAUCAUAGUGCUACCAAAUUAGUACUUGGAGUAGAGAAUGGAGAAGACAACAUUCCUAAAGGUUUUCUUGGUGUCAUUUUUGCUUAUUGUGUUAGGACAAGGAAGCAAUGGGGGGCUUCUAUGCAAUGAUGAUGACGACUGUCCUCACCAACUAAUAUGCUCAAUUGGUACUACUCCAACAUGUGACUUGGAGACACGUAGUUGUUAUUGUAAAAUAACUACCCUCCCCCCCACCCCACCCAACCCCAAACCAGCUUAUAAUGGACAAGAAGUCGUCGAGAGCAACAAAGACUGAUUUAUGUUUUUGGGACUUCAUUUGUAAUGAUAAACAAUUAAAGGAAAAAGGGUUAGAUUC